CGCAUGCGCGCUGGCGGUGUGGGCUGUGGCCACGGAGUUUGUCUGGUGGUGGAAGGAGGGGGUGGCUGCGCCCGCCAUGCUGGGGCUCGUGUUUUUCUCUUCCGCUUCAGGCUUUGGUGAAAUGGGCUGAGGAAGGGGGAAUUGAACUGAGAGACUCCUUGUCCGUCCCCCAUUUCUUUCUUUUUUUUUUUUUUUUGAGAUGGAGUCUCGCUCUGUCGCCCAGGCUGGAGUGCAGUGGGACAAUUUUAGCUCACUGCAACCUCCGCCUCCCGGGUUCAAGCAAUUCUCCUGCCUCAGCCUCCCGAGUAGCUGGGAUUACAUGCGCCCGCCACCACACCUGGCUAAUUUUUGUAUUUUUAGUAGAGACGGGGUUUCACCACGUUGGCCAGGCCGGUACCGAACUCCCAACCUCAGGCGAUCCACCCGCCUCGGCCUCCCAAAGUGCUGGGAUUACAGGCGUGAGACACAGCGCCUGGCCUGUCCUUUUUAUGUAUUGCCAUAUUUUCUUUUCUUUUCUUUUCUGUGAGAUCCCUGUUGAGUUUUGUUAACAAGGCUAUGCUGAUAUAAUGUGUGGAGAAGUGUUCUCUCUUUUUCUAUUCUUUGAAAGUGCUAGUGUAGGAUUGAUGUUAUUUAUUUUUUAUGUGUUUGGAAGAAGUCACCAGCCAUCUGGACCUAGAGUUUUCUUUGUGGAAAGACUUUAAAUUACAAAUUCUAUUUCUUUUAUAAAAAUACAACUAUUCAGAUGUUCUAUUUUAUUUCUGGUGCUGGGAGAGUACUUGUUGGCAUAUGCUGAUGGUCAUCUGCAUGAUUGGACUCUUCCAUAUCUGCUCCAGAAGCUUGAGUGUCUCCACUACAGGAAGAGUCUUUGUCAUUACUGGUUUUAGAAAAGCUGUCCUCAGAGCCACCAUUUUUCUUGAUGCCUUUCACGGUGACAACGGCCAGCACUUGCCCUGAGGACAUCUCUUCAGGAAGCUCUGCUACAAGAAUGGCGAAGCAAUCUUUUUUCUUGGCAUCUCAUUUUGCCCUGUGAAGAGAUAGGGCUGCUUCUGGGGACUUUUCACUGAUCACCAUCCCCGCCAGGUCAUCCUUGAAAUCAUUUACCUGGACUCCCUAGGGUGCCUUCACAUUACAUGGGGCCUCCUUUUCCUUGAUGUUGUUGGCAAAUUCUUUCACUGGAUUAUCUAUGGGAACUUUUUCCUUGGCACAUUUGUCGGCAUUCAGAUCCAGUGGAGCAUCCUCAUGUGAGCUUUCGUUGGUGAGGUCUUCCACCAGGGUAUCCUCCAUGGGAACUUUUUCCUUGGCUCAUUUGUCAGCCUUUAAAUUUAGCAAAACAUCCCCAUCUGAGCUUUUGUUGGCAAGGUCUUCCACCAGGGUAUCCUCCGUGGGAACUUUUCCUUGGUGAAUUCAUCAGCCUUCAAUCCAGUAGAGCGUCCUCAUCUGAGCUUUCAUUGGCAAGGUCUUUCACCAGGGUAUCCUCUGUGGGAACUUUUUCUUUCAUGCGUUUGUCAACCUUCAAGUCCAGUGAGGCAUCCUUAUCUGAGCUUUCGUUUCCAAGGUCUUCCACCAGGGUAUCCUCCAUGGGAACUUUUUCCUUGGCACGUUCUUUGGCCUUCAAAUCCAGUGGGGUGUCCUAAUCUGAAAUUUCAUUGGCGAGGUCUUCCAGAGGAUCCUCCAUGGCACCUUUUUCCUUGGCACAUUCAUUGGCCUUCCAAAGCCAUGGGGCAUUUUCAUCUGAGCUUUCACUGGCUUGGUAUCCUUCCAGGAUAUCUUCCAUGUGAACACUUGCCUGAGUUGCUGAGUCUGUCAAGUGAACAGCAAGAACCUGUUCAGAGGAAGUGUCGCUGGUCUGCUCCCCUGCCAGGUUGUCCUUGAAAUCUUCAGAUGGCUACCUGCCAGGGUGCACAUGAGGAUGACACCUGCGGUGGCACAUUCUCUCUCUAAAACUGCGCUGGCAGACCAUGGAUUCGCCAUGGACAGUGGAGUCUCCUGAAACCUGAGUAUCCACUGCUGCAUCUUGGAGGCAAUACUCUAGCCUUCACGAGCACCCUUCUACUCCAGUCAGGCUGAAGUCUCCCUCGCUGUCACCGCCACAACUGUAGGAGGUGAGCCACAGAGCCGUGCCAUCUGCAAGCUCCAAACUCCACCUCACCACAGGUGACUCCUCCUUCACUUUCUCCUCCAGCCUUUCUCAGAGUGGCUGGGCGGGCAAAGCCAGAAAAGCCACUCUGGCCACACUGCAGCCUCUGUUGCCACCACCAACUGCAGUGAGGCAAGCCAUGGUGCCACAGGCUCCAACCUCCAGCAUGUGGCAGGUGAUUCCCCUUCCCCUUCUCCUGGUUCUCUAAGCCAGGAACAGAGUAGCUCGGUGGGCAGAUACAGAAGAGCCUAAAAUCUGUUGUACUAUUUUAAGAAAAACUUCUCUUGCCUGUAAUCCCAGCACUUUGGGAGGCCGAGGUGGGUGGAUCACCCAAAGUCAGGAAUUCAAGACCAGCCUGGCCAACAUAGCAAAACCUCAUCGCUACUAAAAAUACAAAAAACAAAAAACAAACAAAAAAAAAUUAGCUGGAUAUUGUAGUGCGUGCCUGUUAUCCCUGCUCUUUGGGAGGCUGAGGCAGGAGAAUCACUUGAACCUGUGUUAGAAUCAAAAUGCUUGUUUCUUGGUGUCGCAAGGAAAAAUUAGCAUUCAGACAAAAAGUUUUCUCAGCAAGGCAAUUUUACUUUCUGUAGAAAGGGUGCUGCCCAUCAGCAAUCCUGCCAGGAGAGCACAAUGAACAAAGAAAGGCAGGAAUAUUUAUCCCUUAUGCAUUGGGUCCUUACUGCUGUGUCCUGUCUCCAUUGGUUGGAGCUGGACCUCACAGUCUAAGCUAAACCCAAUUGGCUAACAACUUAAAAAACUUUCUUAAAUAGGUAAAGGCAAUGGAGAACAAAGGAAAAGAGGAAGUUGCUUGCCAAAAGACUUGGAGAAGUAAUAACAUUUCCAAAUAAGGAAAGGGCAUAAGCUGUGAGCUGGGACAUGCUUGAGCACGUCGAGACCAAAUAUCUUGGUUAACGUACAAGGACACAGAAGGUACUUAUUUCCUUAUAUCUAACAACUACAUAAGAUAUGGUUUAAAAAAGAGUUACUAACACAAAGCAAAGAGGCUUAAAAAAAGUUAAUUAAAAAUAUUAUUUCUAACACUUGUGAUUUAUUAUUUAAUAAAAACUUUAAAGAGAAACUUUUUUACUUUCCACAACCUAGAAGGUGGAGGUUGCUGUGAGCCAAGAUGGCACCACUACACUCCAGUCUGGGUGACAGAGGGAGACUCCAUUUCCAAAAUAAUAAAGUAUGUUUUUUAAAAAAAACUUUUCUGUAGUCUUGAAAUUUUAUUUAUUUAUUUAUUUAUUUAUUUUUUGAGACAGAGUCUCACUCUGUUGCCCAGGCUAGAGUGCAGUGGCAUGAUCUGGGCCCACUUUAGACUCAACCUCCUCGUCUCAAACAAUCCUCCCACCUCAGGCUUCUGGGUAGCUGGAACCACAGCACACACCACCACACCUGGCUACUUUUUUGAUUUUUUUUUUUUUUUUGGAGACAGAGUCUCACUCUGUCCCCCAGGCUGGAGUGCAGUGACAUGAUCUUGGCUCACUGCAACCUCUGCCUCCCGGGUUCAAACAAUUCUUUUACCUCAGCCUCCAGAGUAGCUGGGACUACAGGUGCAGGCUGCCAUGCCCGGCUAAUUUUUCGUAUUUUAGUAGAGACAGGGUUUCACCGUGUUGCCCAGGCUGGUCUCGAACUCCUGAGCUCAGGCAAUCUGCCUGCCUUGGCCUCCCAAAUUGCUAGGAUUACAGGCGUAAGCCAGCAUGCCUGGCCUACUUUUUAAAUUUUUUUGUAGAGAUGAAGACUCCCUCUAUUGCCCAGGGUGAUCUCAAACUCGUGGGCUCAAGUCAUCCUCCUGCCUCAGCCUCCCAAAUUGCUAGGAUUAUAGGUGUAAGCCACUGUGCCUGUCCUGAAAUUUUUAAAAUAAAAUUUUAAAUAAACAUUUUUAAAAUGAAGAUAUUGCAUGGGUGUACGUGGGUAUCAUAUGGAUGUAUCAAGCUCUUUGGGUUUCUUAAAACUUUUCAGGAUUAAAAAUACCCUGAUUUUGCAAAGCACUUCAUAAUUAGAAUCACUUGUAGAAGUUUACCAAAGGUGAAAUACACAACGCAUUUAGCAUUCAUACAGCUCUUUGGUAUUAAAAAUCACAUUUUGGGCCAGGCGCAGUAGCUCAUGCCUAUAAUCCCAGCACUUUGGGAGGCCGAGGCAGGUGGAUCAGCUGAGGUCAGGAGUUCGAGACCAGCCUGGCCAACAUGGCCAACAUGGCGAAACCCUGUCUACACUAAAAAUUCAAAAAUUAGCUGGACGUGGUGGCACGUACUUGUAGUCCCAUCUACUUGGGAGGCUAGGGCUGGAGAAUCACUUGAACCUCAGUGGCGGAGGUUGCAGUGAGCUGAGAUUGUGCCAUUGCACUCUAGCCUGGGCAACAGAGCGAAACUCCAUCUCAAAAAAAACAAAAAAAGAAGAAGAAAAUCACAUUUUGGGCCAGGUGUGGUGGCUCAUGUCUAUAAUCCUAGUACUUUGGGAGGCAGAGGCGGGCGGAUUGCCUGAGCUCAGGAGUUCGAGACCAGCCUGGGAAACAUGGCGAAACCCCGUCUCUACUAAAAAUAGAAAAAUUAGCUGGGUGUGGUGGUCCGCGCCUGUAGUUCCAGCUAUUCCGGAGGCUGAGGUGGGAGGAUCAUUUGAGUCUGGGAGUUGGAGGUUGCAGUGAGCUGAGAUUGUGCCACUGUACUCCAGCCUGGAUAACAGAGCAAGACUCCAUUCUCAAAAAAAAAAACCAAAAAAACAAACAAAAAAAACCCCAAAAAUCAAAACCACAAUAACAACAAAAACAUUUUGGAGUUUAUAAUGGAGAGGUUUACCAACCACUUUGGGAUAGAUUGAAAAAUACUCUGAAGUUUGCAGAGCACUUACUUUGAGACAAAAACACAAUUUGGGGUUUAUGAGGGUGAAGCUUUCCAAGCACUUAGAAUUAAAAACCCUUCUUGGUUUAUAAAACAUUUUGGUGCUCAUAGAAACACUUUGAUUGACUAUUAUGUAGUUAAAAAAAAAAAAGAAAACCACUUUGAUACAAAACCCUCUAGGGUCUACUAAACCCUUGCAGAUGUAUUCUGAGGUCAAAAAUCUCAUUUCUGACAGUUGGAUUGCCCCACUUGAGAGAUGGCAAAACUGAGGCUCAGAAGGAGGAAGUUCCACACAGAGGAGUAAGAGGGUCAGUUCCUCUUCUUGUCCUCCUAAACUACAGAAAAUGUUAGGGCCUCACCAGGCAUGGUGGCUCAUGCCUGUAAUCCCAGCACUUUGGAAGGCCAAGAUGGGCAGAUCACUUGAGGUCAGGAGUUCAAGACCAGCCUGACCAACAUGGAGAAACCCUGUCUCUACUAAAAAAAUACAAAAAAUUAGCCGGGCGUGGUGGCAGGUGCCUGUAAUCCCAGCUACCAAGGAGCUUGAGGCAGGAGAAUUGCCUGAACUUCGGAGGCGGAGGUUGCAGUGAGCCAAGAUCGUGCCACUGCACUCCAGCCUGGGUGACAGAGUGAGACUCUUCUUUAAAAAAGAAAAAAAGAAAAUGUUUGGGCCUGGACACUUUGACGGCGGGGCACGUCCUAACCUUCAAAUCACCCUCGAAGCUCCCCUCCGCUGGUUGAAUGGAUGCCACCACAUUCUCGGAGAUCAGCACCUCUCCUGUCUUGUUGUCGGUCAUCUGUGAGGAUCCGAUGAGAGAGUGAGAGCAAACCUGCUUUCCUCCUCCGCCCUCCUUCCCUCCCAACAGAUACUGCAGCACGAGGGAUGGCGGGAUGGAGGGAUCCCAAGGGGACUUCAGGAAGGGCUUCCCUGCAUAGGCACCUUGUCGAUCUGGAGGUGGCUGGAGAGGGUGUUGUUCCCCAGCUGGUG
rnacentral:lncRNA from 1 species